UGGACCGAUGAUGACGACUGGUGGCGUAUGAGUCAUGGAUGAUGAUGAAUGACAUGUGUCUGAAACUCUGAGGUCCAU
ensembl:snoRNA